AGUCUCUGGGGUGAACAGGAAGAGAGAGAAGAGUUAUUAAGUAAAUUAUUGUUAUUUUCAUGGAUUUCAUUUAAUCAUGCUUGUUUGGUCCUCCCCAAAUUGAAACAGCAAGAGCCAAGGUUACUUCCAGCUACCUACAGGAUAAGAGAUUCAGAUUUUUCAUUCCCCUUGGCUUGGAAUUUCACCUCAUUCCUUUUGGAAAACUAUCUGUUCUGCAAGUUCCAGUGCAAGAAGCGCAUCCUCCAAUCAACCUUCCCUGACCAUCAUCAGGCCAGUUCUCACUUCCUUUAUUCCCAUGGCACUAGAUCACUUUCUUUUAUCUUAUUUUUUAUUCUGUAUAUACAGGAGGGUUAUGAGGCUUAAAUCAGA
rnacentral:lncRNA from 1 species